rnacentral:sRNA from 1 species
UGCAUCUGCAGCUCAUGAGGAUGAGAACCUCCGGGGGCGGGGAGGUUCGACUCGAGCGAAGCGAGAGAACGUUGCGCCAGCAACGGCCCG